AGAAUCAACGCUGGCGGCGUGCCUAACACAUGCAAGUCGCACGAGAAAGGGUAGCAAUACCUGAGUACAGUGGCGCACGGGUGAGUAACACGUGAAUAAUCUACCUCCGAGUGGGGAAUAACUGAGAGAAAUCUUAGCUAAUACCGCAUAAUACCCACGGGUCAAAGCAGCAAUGCGCUUGGAGAGGAGUUCGCGGCAGAUUAGUUAGUUGGCGGGGUAAUGGCCCACCAAGACGAUGAUCUGUAUCCGGCCUGAGAGGGCGCACGGACACACUGGAACUGAAACACGGUCCAGACUCCUACGGGAGGCAGCAGUGGGGAAUUUUGCGCAAUGGGGGAAACCCUGACGCAGCAACGCCGCGUGGAGGAUGAAGCCCCUUGGGGUGUAAACUCCUUUCGAUCGGGAAGAUAAUGACGGUACCGAUAUAAGAAGCCCGGCUAACUCGCGCCAGCAGCCGC
rnacentral:rRNA from 1 species